rnacentral:lncRNA from 1 species
CAAUCAAUGAGACUCCAUGGGCUUAGGACCCUCCGAGCCAGGUGCGGGAUAUAAUCUCCUGGUGCACCAUUUUUUAAGCCCAUUGGAAAAGCGCAGUCUUCAGGUGAGAGUGACCCGAUUUUCCAGGUGCCGUCUGUCACCCCUUUCUUUGACUAGGAAAGGGAACUCCCUGACCCCUUGCACUUCCCGAGUGAGGCAAUGCCUCGCCCUGCUUCGGCUGGCGCACGGUGCGCACACCCGCUGACCUGCAUCCACUGUCUGGCACUCCCUAGUGAGAUGAACCCAGUACCUCAGAUGGAAAUGCAGAAAUCACCCGUCUUCUGCGUCGCUCAGGCUGGGAGCUGUAGACCGGAGCUGUUCCUAUUCAGCCAUCUUGGCUCCUCCCCUCGAUACUUUUUCUAUGAGCUUGCACUCUCUUGCCUUUCUGCCUUGCACCAUGGGAGGACACAGCAAGAAGCUCUCACCGGAUGCUAGACCCUCAACCUUGGACUUCUCAGCCUCCAGAACCACGAGAAAUAAAUUUCUGUUUAUUGUAAAUUGCCCAGUCUCAAAUAUUAUGUGACAGCUGCACUAAACAGACUAAGAUGCUCCCUUAACAUAAACCACAGGGUUCCUAUGGAAAACAGGCAACAUGGAAUGUUUCAGGCAUUGUAAUCAUUGAAGGAAAGGAGAAACAAAAGGAGAGAUUGUGCUGAAGUGAACAGAGCACAGACUGUGACGGGAAUCUCACAAUCUUACCAACUUUGAGAUCAGGUAAGCGUCUUGUCUGGAGAUCAGAUAAGGGUCUUGAGAUCAGGAAAGGGUCUUGUAAAGAGCUUCUCUAUGGUAUAUUUCAAAUCUGAAAUUUUGGAUUCAGGUGAAAUAGUUAAAGAUCUGAGUUCUAAUCCACUGUGUCACUUUGAUUAUGUAGUGUACAAUGCCUUAAAUGCAUAUUUUCUUACUUAGUGUAACAGAAACACCAUAAGAGAGAUGUCUUUGAUAAUCUCCAGUAUGGAGGCACAUAAUUGAAAGUUCCAAAAGGUUGAAUAACUUAUGAAUAGUGAACAGCAAGUUAGAGUUUGAAUGCAUUUCUUUGGAAUUCAGAGCCUGUGUUUUUAUACUGUCACACUACCUCUUAUAUAUGCUUAUUCACUGAAUGUAAGUUGUAUUAUUUUCCCCACUGAUAUCUAUUCAGGCUUGCAUAAAAAGUUUCUCUUUUAUAAUUAGGGAAGCUAAAUAAACUCUAUAAAUUUAACAAAGAUUUUCUGAAUGAUAAUAUGGUGGGCACUGUACAUUGUAUUGGAGUACGACAGUAAACAAAAAAAAAUAUGGUACCCAAGUUUAUGGUUGAGAGGGAGACCCAUUAUUUUAAAGAAGUGUAAAAAUCUGUCCAAUUAAUGCUUCCCUAUCUUUUCAUUGUAAAUUAUCAGAAUUUAACUUUCACCAUUUGCCAAGCUAUUGUGCUGGAUGCUUUUAUACAUUAUUUCAUCUAAUCUAGGAAUCAAUUUUGUUUUUAUUUUACAAAAGAGGAAACGUGCCUAACUACUAUAUGCUUGUAUCAAUUUAUUCUCCCUCCAGCAUUGAAUAAAAAUGACUAAUUUUAUUGUAUCUUCUUCAGUAUUCAUUACUUUCCUU